rnacentral:rRNA from 1 species
GACGAACGCUGGCGGCGUGCCUAAUACAUGCAAGUCGAACGCAUUUUCUUUCACCGUAGCUUGCUACACCGAAAGAAAAUGAGUGGCGAACGGGUGAGUAACACGUGGGCAACCUGCCCAUCAGCGGGGGAUAACACUUGGAAACAGGUGCUAAUACCGCAUAAUUCCAUUUACCGCAUGGUAGAGGGAUGAAAGGCGCUUUUGCGUCACUGAUGGAUGGACCCGCGGUGCAUUAGCUAGUUGGUGGGGUAACGGCCUACCAAGGCUGCGAUGCAUAGCCGACCUGAGAGGGUGAUCGGCCACACUGGGACUGAGACACGGCCCAGACUCCUACGGGAGGCAGCAGUAGGGAAUCUUCGGCAAUGGACGCAAGUCUGACCGAGCAACGCCGCGUGAGGGAAGAAGGUUUUCGGAUCGUAAAACUCUGUUGUUAGAGAAGAACAAGGAUGAGAGUGGAAAGUUCAUCCCUUGACGGUAUCUAACCAGAAAGCCACGGCUAACUACGUG